rnacentral:rRNA from 1 species
AUUGAACGCUGGCGGCAUGCCUUACACAUGCAAGUCGAACGGCAGCGGGGGAGAAGCUUGCUUUUCCUGCCGGCGAGUGGCGAACGGGCGAGUAAUACAUCGGAACGUGCCCUGUAGUGGGGGAUAACUAGUCGAAAGAUUAGCUAAUACCGCAUACGACCUGAGGGUGAAAGUGGGGGACCGCAAGGCCUCAUGCUAUAGGAGCGGCCGAUGUCUGAUUAGCUAGUUGGUGGGGUAAAGGCCUACCAAGGCGACGAUCAGUAGCUGGUCUGGGAGGACGAUCAGCCACACUGGGCCUGAGACACGGCCCAGACUCCUACGGGAGGCAGCAGUGGGGAAUUUUGGACAAUGGGCGAAAGCCUGAUCCAGCAAUGCCGCGUGUGUGAAGAAGGCCUUCGGGGUGUAAAGCACAUUUGUCCGGAAAGAAAUGGCUCUGGUUAAUACCUGGGGUCGAUGACGGUACCGGAAGAAUAAGGACCGGCUAACUACGUGCCAGCCGCCGCGGUAA